AGGAAUAUUGGACAAUGGAGGAAACUCUGAUCCAGCCAUGCCGCGUGUGUGAUGAAGGCCUUCGGGUUGUAAAGCACUUUUAGAUGUGACGAUGAUGACGGUAACAUCAGAAAAAGCUCCGGCUAACUUCGUGCCAGCAGCCGCGGUAAUACGAAGGGAGCGAGCGUUGUUCGGAAUUACUGGGCGUAAAGCGUGCGUAGGCGGUUUUGUAAGUAAGGAGUGAAAGCCUGGGGCUUAACCUCAGAAUUGCUUUUUAGACUGCAGAACUAGAAUUCUGGAGAGGUUAGUGGAAUUCCGAGUGUAGAGGUGAAACUCGCAGAUAUUCGGAGGAACACCAGUGGCGAAGGCGACUAACUGGACAGAUAUUGACGCUGAGGCACGAAAGCGUGGGGAUCAAACA
rnacentral:rRNA from 1 species